GAAUCUUCCGCAAUGCGCGAAAGCCUGACGGAGCGACGCCGCGUGCGGGAUGAAGGCCCUUGGGUUGUAAACCGCUGUCAGAGGGGAUGAAAUCAUCGGGGGUUAUCCCCUGAUGUUGAGAAAGCCUCAGAGGAAGCACGGGCUAAGUACGUGCCAGCAGCCGCGGUAACACGUACUGUGCGAACGUUAUUCGGAAUCACUGGGCUUAAAGGGUACGUAGGCGGUUCACCAAGUCAGAUGUGAAAUGCCACAGCUCAACUGUGGCACUGCGUUUGAAACUGGUUGGUCUAGAGUAUGCCAGGGGUGUCUGGAACUUCUGGUGGAGCGGUGAAAUGCGUUGAUAUCAUGAGGAACACCGAUGGCGAAGGCG
rnacentral:rRNA from 1 species